CCCCUCUCAGGAAUGCACCUGGAGAGUUUCCUGUACUCUACCAGUCUCGGCUACGGGAUGGGGAGUCAAGUAGAGGCAUACGCGUUCCAUUCCUAGCUUGGGCAGUAGCUAGUGAGUGGAAGGCAAUCUACUACAAGU